CGUGUAGGCGGAUUGGAAAGUCGGAUGUGAAAUCCCCGGGCUCAACCUGGGAAUUGCAUUUGAAACUUCCAGCCUUGAGUAGUGGAGAGGGAAGCGGAAUUCCUGGUGUAGAAGUGAAAUUCGUAGAUAUCAGGAGGAACACCGGUGGCGAAGGCGGCUUCCUGGACACUGACUGACGCUGAGACGCGAAAGCGUGGGGAGCAAACA
rnacentral:rRNA from 1 species